rnacentral:rRNA from 1 species
AUUGAACGCUGGCGGCAGGCCUAACACAUGCAAGUCGAGCGCGCGGCGGACGGGUGAGCAAUGUCUGGGAAACUGCCUGAUUGAGGGGGAUAACUACUGGAAACGGUAGCUAAUACCCCAUACCACCAGAUAUGCCCAGAUGGGAUUGGCUAUUCGGUGGGGUAAUGGCUCACCUAGGCGACGAUCCCUAGCUGGUCUGAGAGGAUGACCAGCCACACUGGAACUGAAGCACGGUCCAUAAUCCUACGGGAGGCAGCAGUGGGGAAUAUUGCACAGUGGGCGCAAGCCUGAUGCAGCCAUGCCGCGUGUGUGAAGGAGGCCGUCAGGUUGUAAGGCACUUUCAGCGGGGAGGCGUUACCCGCAGAAGAAGCACCGGCUAACUCCGUGCCAGCAGCCGCGGUAAUUC